UACUCAAAAUCCAAAUUUUCUCCCUCACGCAAUAUGUUCUCUCUCCCUCCCUCUCUGCCGUUUCCUUCUCCCAAAUUUCUCCGGCGAACGUCGCCGGUUCUCAUCGCCUCCGGCGCGGCGAGGCUGGCUUCUCUCUUCCCUCCUCCUUUCUUUCUUUUUUCUUUCCCUUAAUUUAAAUUAGUAACUACCUAGGGUUUUUAAAUCUUGUUCAAUCCUGUUCUCCGACGAGUUCUGCCGCGCCGCCGCCGUGCUCCUCGCAUCGCCACUGCUCCAUCUCAGAUCUGGGAAUUUCGUUUCCAACGCUCCACUCACCGCCGUCCAGCAACUCGUCCCGCCUCCCCACCGUCGAUCCACUGCUGCGCCUGGCCUCGCCGUCGCCGUCGAUUGCAGCGCCUCGCCUCGCCGCGCUGCUGCGCCUCUCCUCGCUGCGCCGUGUAUUGCUGCUCCUCGCCUCGCCUCACCUCACCCCCCUCGUCGCUCGACUGCACCUCCGCCUCAUUGUCUACGCUAUCACCAGGAACACCACUUUCGACAGCACCAAACGGAGCAGCUGAUUUGGUUAAGUGGUUUUGGGUGCUACUGCAGAGAAUCCCAGCUUUCAACAUGUGAAAAAAUUGUUUUUGCUACAGGUGCUGCUGCAGGGAUGUUUGUGAAGGUGUUGACGGACGAGCAGAUGGAAGUUCUCCGCAAGCAGAUUGCUGUCUACGCCACCAUUUGUGAGCAGCUCGUUGAGUUGCACAAAUCCCUCACCUCCUAGACCGAUCUUGCUGGCUCCGUUGCUGAAAAAUUACUCAUAUUUUAGUCAUACAACUGCUACCAGCAGCCUAUUACAUUUGCGAAGAAGCUCUUCAGCGAGAACCUUAUCCCUCUUAAAUGUGACCCGCUAUUCUACUUGCUCUGGUCAAGACUAUGGCUCGUCCUCAAAGCGAAGAUCACGUGGACCUGUCAUGAAUUAUGAUGAACAAUAUUUUAUUUGGUUUGAUGUAGAAUGUUUGUAUAAUGGAUACUUUUUCAAUGUAGAAUGAUAAAGAAUAUUUGAAAUUAAUGAAUGACAUUUUUAUUA